UGAUAAUGACCAAGUUAAAAAUUAUUGUUACUGUGGGCCACAACUCCCACCCACAAUGCUUGUAAGGAGGAACUGCUUAAGUUUUGGGUCCUAAAAUCCUAAUCCUUUUUCCCUGGAAAGGCUAAUUUAUGGUCUUCGUCUAGGUACACACUUUUCUAACCUUAAAACCUCUCAUUCGUGGAAUUUUCUUACUUGAUUGUCGACGUUCAGAGGUGUUGUUCAAUGUCGACCACCUUCAACCUGCCAACAACUUCCAAGGAUACAGAUUGCGCCAUUUAUGGAUAAAGUACUUCACGUUUUCACCACCAGUUUUACUCUAAGAUCACAUGGUCAACCUAAGACGUGGAAGAACAAUGGCUAGUGCCGUCGUCGAAUUUUUUUAGUUAAUUUAUUUAAGAAUUAAUAAAUAUUUUUGAGUAAACUAUCAUUUUUUGUGUCAAAUGUGUGAUGCAUUGUUGUUAUAGUCUUUGAAUGUAUCAAAAUUAUAAAAAAAAAAUCUAAAAUGUAUCUUCAGUUAGUUCUAUUUAACCUCAAAUAUGUUUUUUUAAGUCACUUUAGUCCUCAAAUGUGUUUUUUGUAAGUUACCUCAGUCUAUAAAAUUACAAGUGACACUUGGAGAUAUGAUUCUUCAAAACCGAAAGGUGCGGUAGAGGGUGGUGGACGUUGAAUAGUAUCUCCAAGGAGGGAGUAGUGUAUAAUUACCAAAUACUGUGUUGAUCAAGUUAGAAAGUGUCGGGAAUGUGAGACUUUAUGGUUAGAAAUUGAGUACUUGGACGUAGGCCAUUGGUUAGUCUUAGUGAAAGAAUUGGGAUUUUAGGAUCCGGAAUCCUAACCUGGACGACCAUCUUCAUGAAAAUUCCAAGAUUAUAUCUGGACCACUUUUUGGAAUUGGUCUAUGCACUUUUAGAUUAAAUAUUAUGCAUUAAAAAUCAAAAGGUGUGACUCGAUACGAAACAUUGAGACGAAAUACGUUAAUGAAACCCAA
rnacentral:lncRNA from 1 species